GACGAACGCUGGCGGCGUGCUUAACACAUGCAAGUCGAACGGAAAGGCCCCGCUUGCAGGGUACUCGAGUGGCGAACGGGUGAGUAACACGUGGGUGAUCUGCCCUGCACUUCGGGAUAAGCUUGGGAAACUGGGUCUAAUACCGGAUAGGAACCAUCUUUAGUGUGGUGGUUGGAAAGUUUUUUCGGUGUAGGAUGAGCUCGCGGCCUAUCAGCUUGUUGGUGGGGUAAUGGCCUACCAAGGCGGCGACGGGUAGCCGGCCUGAGAGGGUGUACGGCCACAUUGGGACUGAGAUACGGCCCAGACUCCUACGGGAGGCAGCAGUGGGGAAUAUUGCACAAUGGGCGCAAGCCUGAUGCAGCGACGCCGCGUGGGGGAUGAAGGCCUUCGGGUUGUAAACUCCUUUCGCUAGGGACGAAGCUUUGUUGUGACGGUACCUAGAGAAGAAGCACCGGCUAACUACGUG
rnacentral:rRNA from 1 species